rnacentral:tRNA from 1 species
AAAUUAUUAAGCAUAAAGCUAACUAAUGACUUGAAAUCAUUAUAAAGAAGUGAAUCUUCUAAUAAUUU